GACAAUAAUACCGAAAAUAAAGUUUUAGAAGGAGGGUCUGUGCUUUCUAUGGAGAAGCAUUCACUUUCCAUUGAGGUAGGUGCCUCUCUAAUUCGGUUUAUCAAAGGAAAAGGAGGAUCUACACAGCAAAAAAUUGAAGAGGAGAUGGGAGUUAAGAUUUUCAUUCCAUCAUCAAAGGAGGAGGAAUCUAUUAUCAUUGAAGGAAGUUCAAUUGAUAGUGUAACUAGUGCUUCAGAAAAGAUACAAGCUAUUAUAGAUGAGGCAGUUAACAGCCCAAGUCUCAAUUAUUCCCACUUCAUAUCUCUUCCACUAGCUAUUCACCCAGAAUUGGUUGAUAAGUUAGUGAAUUUUCAGAACUCGAUAUUGGAAAUUAGUGAUGCUUUCCUGGAUGAGACCGUGGAGAGUGAUCCCAAUGAAGGUACUUCUGAUAAUGAAGAUAAGGACCAAGAGUUCAGUAGAGGAUCUGAUGUUGCAGUUGAACUUAAAGUUGAAGAUGACAAAAAUGUUAAAGUGGAUCUAACUAGCGUGCCUCUUGUUAGUUACGCACCUAAAGCAUCAAAGCCAUCUACUUUAUCUGACUUGGGAAUAGACAAAUCUAUAUUUAUCAAACCUACAGCAUUUCACUUAACUGUGCUUAUGUUGAAGCUCUGGAAUAAGGAGCGAAUUGAUGCAGCUACUGAGGUUUUGAAGAGUAUAUCAUCAAAAGUGAUGGAUGCGUUGGAUAAUCGACCACUCUCUAUCAGACUUAAGGGGCUGGAUUGCUUGAGAGGUUCUAUGGCAAAAGCCCGUGUUCUCUAUGCAACUGUAGAAGAAGUUGGAAAUGAGGACCGCCUUUUACGUGCCUGUCAGGUCAUUAUUGAUGCAUUUGUUGAGGCUGGACUUGUCCUAGAGAAGGACGCUAAACAUAAGUUAAAGUUGCAUGCCACAGUGAUGAAGACAAGCCAUAGGAGAGGGGAGAAGAGAAGAAAAAACGAUUACUUUGAUGCUCGAGGUAUUUUCAAGAAGUUUGGAUCUGAGGAAUGGGGGGAGUAUCUCAUACGUGAAGCUCAUCUUUCACAACGUUUUGUGUAUGAUGAGAAUGGAUAUUAUCAUUGUUGUGCUUCAAUACCUUUUCCCGAAGGCAUGCAGGUGGAUUGAUUUAUUAUCAUUGUUGUGCUUCAAUACCUUUUCCUGAAAGCAUGCAAGUAGAUUGAUUUACAACAUGAAAUUUGCAAUCUAACUUAUUCUUGUAUGGGAAGCUGGCAAGAUUACAUAAAUGG
rnacentral:misc_RNA from 1 species